AGGUCCUUUCCAACCCAAACCAUUCCAUGAUUCUAUAAUUAAGUCAUAUUUGUUUUCUUUUGUACAGCUUGAAGUUGUUUAAUAAAGUGUCUUAGUUAUGGGCAUUUUUUAAUCUAUUUUUAAUUGCAGCAAUCUGUUUAAGCAACUAGAAAGGCAACUUGAGGAUAUUGUACAGCAAAUCUCUGCUAGAGCCACGCAAUUCUGUUAAAGUGACUGUUGUUUAAGGUCAGCAUUUAACAGGUCUAAAACUGAAUAAAUGCAUAUUU